GCUUCUACCCACCGUGGGGAGUGGGGCUGCUUCUACCCACCGUGGGGAGUGGGGCUGCUUCUACCCACCGUGGGGAGUGGGGCUGCUUCUACCCACCGUGGGGAGUGGGGCUGCUUCUACCCACCGUGGGGAGUGGGGCUGCUUCUACACAGAUGAAUUAAACGGAUGAAAAAUGCAUAUGCAUUCGUUACUGUCCAUUCACCUCAUUUAAACUUGUCACUUAUGAGUUGAUUAUUUAAACUUCUCACAUAUGAGUUGCUUAUGUAAAAAAUGUAUGGACAAAACUGCUGAUAGGCAUUUCUCCUUUCUGUAGCACAUCAACCUACAGAAAAUCCUUUUGGCUCAAUAUGUUUUUGAUGGAUAAAUCUAUCAGGCUUCAACACUACAACACUACAGUUAAUGAUAAUGCUGUCUACUAAUACAAUAAUGACUUGUUUCAAUUAAAUACCAUAUGUGUAAAGGAUUUAUUAGUUCACGCUAUAUUCUGUGUAUAUCAGCCGUGUGUGUGUGUGUGUGUGUGUGUGUGUGUGUCUCUGGUAGCAUUAAGAUCAUCUUAAGUACAUUGGUAGGCAAUUGAGGAACAAUGAUCUUGGUGCUACACACAUUUUGGGGAACUCUCCCCAGUGUUGUGGAACUACACAGAAGGGGAACGAGUUGAGUAGGAAAUACUGAGACAAACUCCAUUUAUAUUUUCCAUUAAAACAGUCACCAAAUAUUGUACAUCCCAAGCAAAAGUGUACAUUCGCUAUAAUUUAAGUUGCCAUGAUGAGCUUUUGUUGAAUAGUUGUAUUUAUUUGUUUUGAAUUGUACAAAGGAAUAUAUUUUCAUUAAAGUGCUGAUAGAAUUGUGACCCAUUCAGUAUUCUUGGUUGUAAUUGUUUUAUGGACUUUACUAUCACAUUCUGGAAUUCACUAUUGUAAUGAUGAGAAUAACUGUAGAAGAUGUAGUUUGUAGUAAAUAUCAUUGCAUUGUGUAUUUACCCUUUUUCUUGAGGUUAUGUAAUUUAGCCACUGGAGGGCCACAUGCAGUAGGUUGACAGGAAUAUACUGGAGGUUAGGGAUUUGGUAGACUUGAUCGUAUUGAAUCUAAGGUCUAGGACUGAGCUAGAACAAUUUUGUCGGCUGAUCAUAUCUAUUAAUUGAUGCAACAAAUAAAAAUUCACUCCAACCUUAAUUGUCUUGUGAAAAUAGGGUUGACUUACUGAUUUGUAAUGACAUAUUGAUUAAUCAACAAUCAAUGAACACUUUUAAGGCCAAAGGUUUGUUUAUUUAAGGGCUAGGCUCCGAUCAGUUAUAGCUAUAGAGGUUAAUUAUGUCUUACUGUGCAGGCCAGUUGUAGUCUAGGAGGAGGAUGAGGUUUAACAGUGCUUUGUUGACCAGCAGUAACACUGAUGUGAUAUCCUCAGAGAUCACCACUAAUGGCCAGAGUCCUCUCUCUCUCGCUCUCUCGCUCUCUGUGUGUG
rnacentral:lncRNA from 1 species